rnacentral:tRNA from 1 species
GUAUAAGUGCCAGAUUUAAUGGGUUGGUUUUAAGCAUCAAAUAUGGGGUUAACCCCCUUAUACU